rnacentral:rRNA from 1 species
UACAGAGGGGGCAAGCGUUAUUCGGAAGUAUUGGGCGGAAAGAGCACGUAGGCGGUUUGGCAAGUCGGGUGUGAAAACUCCGGGCUCAACUCGGAGACGCCACUCGAUACUGCUAUGACUCGAGUCCGGUAGGGGAGUGCGGAAUUCCUGGUGUAGCGGUGAAAUGCGCAGAUAUCAGGAGGAACACCGGUGGCGAAGGCGGAUCUCUGGGCCUUACCUGACGCUGAGGAGCGAAAGCAUGGGGAGCAAACAGG